rnacentral:rRNA from 1 species
UACGUAGGAGGCGAGCGUUGUCCGGAAUCACUGGGCGUAAAGCGCGUGUAGGCGGGAAGGCAAGUCUGCUGUGAAAGCGCCUGGCUUAACCGGGCGAGGUCGGCGGAAACUGCUUACCUGGAGGCCGGUAGAGGGGGGUGGAAUUCCCGGUGUAGUGGUGAAAUGCGUAGAGAUCGGGAGGAACACCUGUGGCGAAGGCGGCCCCCUGGGCCGCGCCUGACGCUGAGACGCGAAGGCGUGGGGAGCGAACGGG